GGUGUUUGAAGACGCUUUGGAAUUCGCUUUCAAUUUCUUCAUAGGAAAAAUGUCGGGUGAUACCGAUAAAGCAAAAAUCAGUGACAAUCAGGAUGAAGAUAAGAAAUCUGGAGCAGGUGACGGCCAGACGACAGAGGAUGAAUCCUCACAAGAUUCCAAGGGUGAGUCCCAGGCCACCACUGCGUCAGAUCCCCAGGCGUCUACAGCCCCUGAGGUCCCAGAAGCUCAAGGAGACGCCAAGUCGACAACGGCCAACGGGAAAGAUGACGACGCGGGCGGCGACGACUCCAAGGAUGACAAGGAUGACGCCAAAGCUGAUGAUGUGAAAAAGGAGGAGAACGGUGAGACUCACGACGAUGACGAAAAAGAAGAUGUGAAGGACAACGACAAGGGUGCCAAAAAGACCGCCGCCAAGAAGAAGCCCAAGAAAGAGGAUACCGAGGAGGAGGAGGAAGAUGAGGAAGAAGAGGAGGACGAGGACGAGGAGGGUGACGAUGGGGAGGAGGAGGACGAGAAGGAAGUGAAAAAACCUAAAGAAAAAGUAAAGAAGGCAGCAAAGAAAGCUAAAGAUGGCGAGGAGGACGAUGACGAGGAAGACGAGGGCGGCGAAGAGGAGGAGGAAGAAGAGGAAGAGGAGGAGGCGCCCAAACCUAAGCCCAAGAAGGAGCCAACAGAGCCGCCGGUGCCGCUGCCUGCCGGCAAGGGCAUCCCGCUGGGGCAUAUCAAUAACGUCGAGAUUUCGCUCUCGCGCUUUAAGACGCAAGACCAGAAGCUGUUGCAUCAGUAUCUUUACGGGCAACUGUGCCUCGACCGGAACGUAAAGCGCAACGUGAAGAAGUUCCGCGGCUACGAGUGGGCCAUCGGGUCGGCCGAGUACAAAACCAAACUCGACGAAACCACCAAGAUGGAGCCUAAACAACUGCGGACAAUGUGCGAGAUGCUCGAUCUCGACAAGAAAGGGUCCCCCAGCGACCUGGCGGCGCGCAUCGUGGGCUUCCUGCAGCAGCCGACGGCCAACUCGCCGCAUGCGCGUGGAUCGGCGCGGGCGCCGCCCCCCGCCGCGCCCGCCAACGCGCCUGGCGGCCGGCCCCGCCGCUCGGCCGCCGUCAAGGUGCACAACCGCGGCUAUUCUGACGAAGAAUAUGAAACAGACCCGGAGACAAAGAUCAAGGGUCCCAAACCAGCUAAGGAUGGCUCGGAAGAUUCAGAUGGUUCGUUCAACCCGAGCGCUUCAGAAGAGGCAGAUUCGGACUUCGAUCCCGAGGCGGGCGAAGGCGUUAGCGCCGGCCCGCGCAAGCGCAAGAGCACCGGACGGCGUCGCUCCAACAACAAGCCCGGCAAGAAGGGGCGCAAACCCAAGGGCAAGAAAGGGAAGGGAGCGGUGAAGCCGACACGCGGGAGACGCGCGCGCUCUGACAGCGAGGAAGAGAGCGAGAAGUCCGACAGUGAGAGCGACAACGAGUCCGCUAGCGAGGGAGAAGAGUCCGACGAGCCAAAAUCGAAGCGCGGCAGGCCAAUCGCCGUGGCUAAAGGCCGCAAGGGCGCUGUCGCAAAGCCCAACGCCAAGGCCCCCGCCAAGCGGAAAGCACCCACGCCCCCAGCAGCAAAGAAGAAGGGCAAGCCAGGGCGACCUGCUGCCGCUAAGAAGGGAAAGAAGGCGUCAUCUGAAGAGGAGUCGGGAGAGGGCAGCGAAGAAGAGGAGGAGGAGGAGGGUAGUGAGGAGGAGGAGGAGGAAAGCGGAGAAGAAUCCGACGCCCCCACUGACAAGAAAGCCAAACGGCCGCCUACUGACGAGGAGAUCAAGAAGUACGUGAAGCAGAUUCUGGAGGGCGCGAAUCUGGAGCAGAUCACGAUGAAGACAGUGUGUAAACAGGUGUACAGUCACUAUCCUGACUUUGACCUGGCACACAAGAAGGACUUCAUCAAGGCCACAGUCAAGUCGUGUAUUUAAGAUGUUAGGAGUUAAGGGCGGCGUGUAGAUGUCUACAUAGUAUACCUAUAGUUUUUAAAAGGACAUAGUUUUAUAUAUUAUUAUAAUAAUAAUAUAUUAUCGAUUAUAAUAUCUGACAAGUCGACUGGACACUCCCGCUUUUCUUUACAAGCUCAUAUCAUCGUGAGCAGUGACCACUCGGCCGCAAAACAUACAUAGUCAAGUAAGCUACACCACUUAACAUAGACUAAUGUCCGCCCGCGACUCGCUCUGCAAUCUGUUGCACAUUACUUCACGUUUUCAUCACACAUGUAGAAUCACUUGGGUCAGUAAUAUAUAACCAUAUAGACCGCAGAUAUAAAAAUGAAAGUAACUUACAAUUUUGACGGAGGAGAGUUAGUUACAUUUCAGAAUUUUCAUCGUGAUUUAAAUCACGAUAAUUAUAUUAGAUAUAUAAUUAGUUUUCUUUAAAAAAAUUAUAUAUGGGACACAUACACGUUAUCUUUUUUUCUACAUAGGGAGGCAGAAGCUACAUACAUCAGCCCACUUCCAUUACAAUCUAAUAUAAUUUUAUUAUUUUUCGCCUGUAUAAGAGUGGAUAUAACUUACAUUUUUGAAUGUGUAUUUAUUUGACAGAUCUACAGAAAUGGCAUCCCUUUGAAUUAGUUUAAAAUAAACUCUAUUUGUAGUAGUGAUAAAUUAGGUAAUAAAACGGGAGUCACUGAUUUAAAUAAAAAUACUUACUAGAGGAAAACAACUAAAGAAAUAAUAAGUAACACUGAAUGCAGGUAACAGUGAUCCAAUUCAAAUUAUUUAAUUACCUGCCUUAAAAAUAAAUCAUAUAAUUCAAAUUGAAUUUACUACACUACAUAAUAGGUGUUACAGCGUCGUAGAAAUUUAUGUUUAAAAAAACAGACAUAACUUAGACUUAAUUCCAUUCCAAGCAUAAGUACUAAUUUACUUGCCCACACUAGUGUUAAAUGAUUAAUAAUUAAAAUUCUUUAACUCAGCAAGAAUGCUAUAAAUUUCUACGAUUUUAUUACAAUUUAGGCCUAGCUUUCGGAGUCCAAGCGAACAUUAUCAAUUUUUUUCGUACAUGCAGUCCCUGCACCAAUAAUUUGCUGACGUAAAUUUAAAUGAUCGCAAGAAUUUGCUACACCGUUUUUAGAUAUAACUAUGGCUACACUGUGGUAUCAUAAUGGUCAUAUUCUGGCAAUACGAACUCCAAUUUCAGACUUGUACUGUGCAACAGAUUAUAUAAUAAAAUACACUCAGUAUAUUCUUUACAAUUUUUAUUUUGUUACGAAUUAAGUUGUUUGUUCUGAGUCGCGACGGUAUGUGUAAUUUUAUGUUAUAGGAAUAAUUCCCUUUAGAUUAAGGAUAAUACAAGUAAACUGCUGUAGAAUUUUUAAUGAUGUUUUAUUUCAAUGUGCUUUUUAUGUACCUACGGACAAGGAUCUUAAUAAAAAAAUGAAAUCUCUUAGAGUAAAGCCUAAUUGCAUAUAUACAGAAUUUCUUAGAAGACCUGAGACGAGUAUGUGGCUGAAUUACGCAAGUACUAUUUAGAGGUAACACUAAAGAGCAAAAGUGCGUAGGCUCAACUAUUAGGGGCCUAAACAUCUAAGGGUUCCACUACACACGUCGAUGUGGAAUCGGAUUGAGCCGGUCAAAAAAUCUUUAUGAUAAAAAAAUGGUUUCAACGUCGGUUGUUGACGUGACGCAUCGUUGGUGCUGUUGAUGUCUUCUGUAUGCACAUUUAAGCUUUUUUUUUUACCGAUUAUGCCGAUUCCGCGGCGACUAAUUUGGUGGAACUUUAACUCGAAACUCAGCCUGGCGUCCAGAGUGAAGUGGCAAAAACUUUGAAACUUUCUGAAACCCAUUAUUGGUUUUCAAAAGUGUAUAUACUGUAUGUUAGGCUGACCUUCAAGUUAGACGAUGAGUGCAAGGAUAUGAUGCUUGCAAUAUAUUGGUGUAAUUCCCGUUAGAUUUGCCCCUAAAGAGUAUUUAAUUAAUUCUUUGUAGCCUUAGAAAUAAUCUGUCAGACACUCGUCCUGUACGUAUUUUCACUAGCAACUACGUACGUGGCAUUUAGUACAAUAUGAAUGAAACGCCUUCCUGGUUAUUGUUAAGGGAGUCAACACAUUUCUUGACGCGAAUUCGAUUUAAGCCGGUAAGAAGAAGCUUUAUUUUCAUGUAGUAAGAACGAAAAAGUCGUUCGCACGUCUUUUACGCUCUAAUUGCAUCCGCAUAAAAAAAUUCCAGACCGCCUCAAGCCGAUUCCGCAACGAUAAGUGUGCUGACUACUUAAUGUGAACAAAAAUUUGGUGUUGGAAAUUCUGCAAAUAUGCUUCUUGGCUGAACUUUGCGAGCUUUGACUGCCAACUCACUUCCUACUUAAUAACUAUGACUACAGAGUCUUAAGACCUAUACAGACCGGUUUACAUAUAAAAUUGUAAGUAUGUUAAAUACGCGAGGUCAAAUUUUUCUAUAGACCGCGUCUGACCCUAGCUGUGAGGUUUAACUAGUAAACCAAAAACCUAGCUAAUUGUUAAUAGAAAAUUGGCAGAAUAGCUUCUACAAACAAGAUCCUUGUCCCCUAUACAUUUGGAAUUAUAAGUAUAAUAUAAUUUUUGUUGAUAUUUUUGAAAUUAAUAUUCAGAUUAAAUGACGUGCUCUUUAUAACAAUGGGGGUUAACGUAAUGUCAAAAGUCAUUCAAAUCCUGCCAUUAAGUGCUAAAUAACAUCAUAAGGUGUGUCGAUUCUGAAAUUGUCAUUUUAAAGGUAACUUCUGCCUUGAUUUGUGGUACCAACUUAUCUAUGGUAAACCACAUGCCCGCAUACAACCACAUAUAAAAUGAUAGAGUUAUUUUAGUCCUCUGCUUCAUUACCUGUAUCACUG